CACGUAGGGUGCGAGCGUUGUCCGGAAUUAUUGGGCGUAAAGAGCUUGUAGGCGGUUUGUCGCGUCUGCUGUGAAAAUCCGGGGCUCAACUCCGGACUUGCAGUGGGUACGGGCAGACUAGAGUGUGGUAGGGGGAGACUGGAAUUCCUGGUGUAGCGGUGGAAUGCGCAGAUAUCAGGAGGAACACCGAUGGCGAAGGCAGGUCUCUGGGCCACUACUGACGCUGAGAAGCGAAAGCGUGGGGAGCGAACAGG
rnacentral:rRNA from 1 species